rnacentral:rRNA from 1 species
UACGGAGGAUGCAAGCGUUAUCCGGAUUCACUGGGUUUAAAGGGUGCGCAGGCGGAAUUGUAAGUCAGUGGUGAAAGCCCGCAGCUUAACUGCGGAACUGCCAUUGAUACUAUGGUUCUUGAGUGUGGUUGAGGUGGGCGGAAUGUGUAAUGUAGCGGUGAAAUGCUUAGAUAUUACACAGAACACCGAUUGCGAAGGCAGCUCACUAAGCCACUACUGACGCUCAUGCACGAAAGCGUGGGGAUCAAACAGG